rnacentral:rRNA from 1 species
UACGUAGGGCGCAAGCGUUGUCCGGAAUUAUUGGGCGUAAAGAGCUCGUAGGCGGUUUGUCGCGUCUGCUGUGAAAACCUAAGGCUCAACCUUGGGCUUGCAGUGGGUACGGGCAGACUAGAGUGCGGUAGGGGUGACUGGAAUUCCUGGUGUAGCGGUGGAAUGCGCAGAUAUCAGGAGGAACACCGAGUGGCGAAGGCAGAUCUCUGGGCCGUAAC